rnacentral:rRNA from 1 species
AGUGAACGCUGGCGGUAGGCCUAACACAUGCAAGUCGAACGGCAGCACCGUAAGAGCUUGCUCUUACGGGUGUCGAGUGGCGGACGGUUGAGGAAUACAUCGGAAUCUACUUUUUCGUGGGGGCUAACGUAGGGAAACUUACGCUAAUACCGCAUACGACCUACGGGUGAAAGCAGGGGAUCUUCGGACCUUGCGCGAUUGAAUGAGCCGAUGUCGGAUUAGCUAGUUGGCGGGGUAAAGGCCCACCAAGGCGACGAUCCGUAGCUGGUCUGAGAGGAUGAUCAGCCAGACUGGAACUGAGACAGGGUCCAGACUCCUACGGGAGGCAGCAGUGGGGAAUAUUGGACAAGGGGCGCAAGCCUGAUCCAGCCAUACCGCGUGGGUGAAGAAGGCCUUCGGGUUGUAAAGCCCUUUUGUUGGGAGAGAAAAGCAGCAGGUUAAUACCCCGCUGUUCUGACGGUACCCAAAGAAUAAGCACCGGCUAACUUCGUG